rnacentral:rRNA from 1 species
GACAAACGCUGGCGGCGUGCUUAACACAUGCAAGUCGAACGGGUCUGCCCUGUUUUUUGCGGGGUGGGUCAGUGGCGAACGGGUGAGUAACACGUGAGUAACCUGCCCCUCACUUCUGGAUAACCGCUUGAAAGGGUGGCUAAUACGGGGUGUUCUGGCUGUGCCGCAUGGUGUGGCUGGGAAAGAUUCACUUUUGUGGUGUUUUGGUGGGGGAUGGGCUCGCGGCCUAUCAGCUUGUUGGUGGGGUGAUGGCCUGCCAAGGCUUUGACGGGUAGCCGGCCUGAGAGGGUGGGCGGUCACACUGGGACUGAGAUACGGCCCAGACUCCUGCGGGAGGCAGCAGUGGGGGGUAUUGCACAAUGGGCGGAAGCCUGAUGCAGCGACGUCGCGUGAGGGAUGGAGGCCUUCGGGUUGUGAACCUCUUUCGCCGGUGAAGAAGGUCCUGCUCUUUGUGGUGGGGUUGACGGUAGCCGGGUUAUGAAGCGCCGGCUAACUACGUG